GUGAGGAAUUUUCCGCAAUGGGCGAAAGCCUGACGGAGCAAUGCCGCGUGAAGGAUGAAGGCCUAUGGGUUGUAAACUUCUUUUCUCAGAAAAGAAUUAUGACGGUAUCUGAGGAAUAAGCAUCGGCUAACUCUGUGCCAGCAGCCGCGGUAAGACAGAGGAUGCAAGCGUUAUCCGGAAUGAUUGGGCGUAAAGCGUCUGUAGGUUGUUUAAAAAGUAUUCUGUCAAAGAUUAGGGCUUAACCCUAGAUAGGCAGAAUAAACUUUUAAGCUAGAGUUUGGUAGAGGCAGAGGGAAUUCCCGCUGGAGCGGUGAAAUGCGUAGAUAUCGGGAGGAACACCAAAGGCGAAGGCACUCUGCUGGGCCAAUACUAACACUGAGAGACGAAAGCGAGGGGAGCAAAUGGGAUUAGAAACCCCGGUAGUCC
rnacentral:rRNA from 1 species